AGCCCGAGUAAACGGCGGCCGUAACUAUAACGGUCCUAAGGUAGCGAAAUUCCUUGUCGGUUAAAUACCGACCUGCAUGAAUGGCGUAACGAGAUGGGAGCUGUCUCAACCAGAGAUUCAGUGAAAUUGUAGUGGAGGUGAAAAUUCCUCCUACCCGCGGCAAGACGGAGAGACCCC
rnacentral:rRNA from 1 species